GUUCUGUAUGAAAGGAAAGAAAAUUAGCCUUCUCCUUGACGAGGAUGGAAGAUGCCCUUGGGUCUCAAGACAUGCAGACAGUUAGAGCACUGCUACCUACUUCCUGCCUCUUUCCCACUUCU